rnacentral:misc_RNA from 1 species
UCUUGGUCAUUUAGAGGAAGUAAAAGUCGUAACAAGGUUUCCGUAGGUGAACCUGCGGAAGGAUCAUUACAGAAAGUAAACGCGGGUCAAACCGUGAACUUUUAAACCUUUGACGAUUGACUCAUGUUGCCUCGGCGGGCUCGCCCGCCAGAGGAUACAUCAAAACUCCUGUUUUAACGGCGUUGUCUGAGCUACAAGCAACGAAUCAAAACUUUCAACAACGGAUCUCUUGGUUCUGGCAUCGAUGAAGAACGCAGCGAAAUGCGAUAAGUAGUGUGAAUUGCAGAAUUCAGUGAAUCAUCGAAUCUUUGAACGCACAUUGCGCCCCUUGGUAUCCCGAGGGGCAUGCCUGUUCGAGCGUCAUUACACCACUCAAGCCUGGCUUGGUGUUGGGCGACGUCCCCUUUUGGGGACGCGCCUUGAAAUGCUCGGCGGCGUGGCACCGGCUUUAAGCGUAGCAGAAUCUUUCGCUUCGAAAGUCGGGGCCCCGCCUGCCGGAAGACCUACUCACAAGGUUGACCUCGGAUCAGGCAGGGAUACCCGCUGAACUUAAGCAUAUC